AGCCGCUGUAACUCAGUUGGUAGAUCAUCAGAAUUGUGAUCCAAGGGUCGCGGGUUCGAUACCCAUCACGGUUA